rnacentral:lncRNA from 1 species
CACCGUUUUUCAACUUCACCUUAUUUCACUUUUUAUCAUUAUUUCUCUCAGGUAAGUACUUUCUAUCAUUAUUUCUCCCAGGUUAACUUCCAUUAAAACUUAGAAAAAAAUGCUUUAAUUAUAUAUUAUUUUUCUUGGCUGAUCUAACUCGGAAUAUUUUUUCUAAAGUUAUGACUGGGUAAAAAGUGUCGAGUAUCGGCUCAUAAACGGGAAAAAAACGUGACAGACUGUGCCAGGCGUUUUCAUUAAUUUGUGUAUACAACGAGAAAAAUAUUUUGUAAAAGCAGUGCCACUUUAAGUUGUGUAUGGUUUAAGCCUGUGUUUUGCCAUUUUUGUGCGGAAGUCUCAAACUUUCUGGCUAUUUUGUAAUUCCAGUAGCGGAUGGGUCCAGCUAACUGUGAAUUCUGCAAAUCGCGUUUCUACCAAAAUUUUCGGCCAGACUAGUAGAUAUGUUCUUCAGAGGCGAAAAACAUAAAUGGAGAGCGCGUCAAACGAAAAUUAGUAAUUGUAUUUCAAUUAUAAUAGCAUCCGUCGGCAUUUCGUGCAUUUAAAAUUUUAUCCUAAAGAAAAUUUUAUAAGUUUUACAGAAAGAACGUUUUUCUUUCUCUUACGUCUUUCCUACCAAAUUUUUAUUUCCUCGUUACGUGUUAUUUUAUAUUUUGCCGUGGUUUCUCUAAAUUUUGUCCUUUGUAUCAGCAUUUUACUUCUCGCCUCGAGUAUUUUUCGGCUUUCGUAUUUUAUGUCAAACUUUUUUUUUUUAACUAAUCCGGGUUGGUAAGUCGUGUGGGUAGAAAAACUCGUCCGAUAGAAAAGUUUCGGAGUCAACGAAUAUUUACAGCUUCUCAUAGUGACAGGUAAAAAGUCGAAGUUAUUAAAACGUGAAAGAUUAUACUAAACAAAGAGGACAACCAAAUUGUGACAUUAUUAGUUCUCCAAACAGCGGAAUUCUUUUAAUCAGCGUAAACUAAGAAUCCCAGCAAAGAAUGGUUGGACUUACGAAGCUAGUAGUCAUUUCGAUCAUAAAGUAUGCGGCACCACCGAUACGAUGUAUGGAAGACCAUCGAUGUUAAAGACAAAAGGCCAACGCUUGGACCAAUUAUGGGCCCGAGAGAGAUCAAUUUGGUGCGCGAGUAGGCGUUCCAUUCGACCCCAUAUUUCUUACCAAGCCAGACGGUUAUUAAAUUUACUUUUUGGUUGGUGGCCGAGUAGACGGGAUAAGUACGAAUCCCAUUUAAAAACGAGAUAUUAAACAAGUUAGUUAAGAUGGCUUCACUCUUUCCAGAUUUGAUUUUUUAUUAAUUUUUUAAUCGAAAUUUACACGCAGUAUCGGAACUUUCUAGGGAAUGGAUCCCCAGAACAGUGGUCUCAAACUCAAAUUAGGUGCGGGCCAAUGCGCAAUUCGAAAGGGCCGAAUAUUUUUAAACAAAAUUAUAACGAGAAGAAGAUAUUUUACUAAUAGACAAUCGUAUUUGCUGAAAGCGCAGACGGGUCGAGUGCUUUAAAACAUUUUAUUAAAGUUAAAUCGUAAUCAUUUAACAAAUAGCUAAAAUAUUUUGGCGGGCCGUACAAAAUUGUUUGGCAGGCUGCCAGUUCGAGACUGCUACCCUAGAAAACUCGCUUCAAUCCAGAUCAGAUAAUAAAUAAGCGCCAUAGGGCAAACUUAAUUCCCUUUUAUUCCAUUUAGAGAUGUAAACAGAGAAAGGCAAAGCUUGGAGUCCGAGUAUUUCCGGUCGAGAAAACUAUAGUUGCUGAAAUAACAAUUCUUUAAUCAAUUAAAACAAAAAAGUUUUAAUUAAUUAAAGAACUGUUAUUUCAUUUUUAUACCGAUUUUCGAUAUUUAACUCGGGUUGUAACCUUCUGCCGUUUCCACUUACGGUAAUUUAAAGGUUUUACACUACUGUUUACUCCGUACCUAUUUCUUCCACUUCCUCCAUCCGCAUCAUUUUGGCUAAAUUUACCAGUAGAUAACAAUACGGCACCGCGUAUACUUUGACUGAAUCCCAUCAAAUUUCACAACCCGACGAUUUUAUUUAUUGAUUAUAACUUUUAUAUUGGAGUGUGGCCAUAAUAUUAAAACGUCGGUUGGUGGUUAUAGGUGGACAAAGUUUGGAAUUCUAAUUAUUUUGGCAUUAACGGUCGGUUCCAUCGGCUGCAUCGCCUUCUUCACUUAUUGG